CGUGAUAGAGAUCUGUGUUGAAAGCUAUCGAACUAUCUAGUCUAAGGAGUGGAUUUGCAUUUCCUUAUAUAUCCAAGUGUUCACCUGGUGUUCAGUGAACACCAGGUGAACACCCCCAUGUCCGUGUGUGUGGCAUCGUUCACUGGGUGCUCAUCACUCCGGUCUCGAGUGAACCCUCAGUGACACGGGUCCGCGUUCAUUGGCCAUGGGUGCCUGCUCACUCAUAGUUCACUCGAGGCCGAGUGAACCCAAAGUGACUCAUCCUUCGAUGUCUACUUGUCCGGCCCGUGGUUCAUCCGUGGGUACGUGAUGGCGGUCGUUUCUGCGACCGUGGUUCUGGCCGUAUAUAUAACACGAUGUCCCCCCUCCCUUUUGAUCUUGUCCCCAAGAUCCUGGCACAUAUACAAAUACUGUACUGUGUCCUCGCGUCCUGAAAUCGGCGUUCUCCACGAAUAAAACCGAGUCAUCACCAUCACCUCUGCUUUUAUUCGUGAGCAGUGGAUCGAGCUAGCUCCCCUUGCACUCGUUGUUUUGACAAGGACACUUCCGGUUGGGUAGUCGAGGGGGGAUUAACCGCUGCUCGGUGGUUUGUUACUCCGCGGGGCGCGUUCAUGCGAUAUAGAUAGCUCUCGCGCUCCGAUGUCGUCUUGUGUGUUGAAUCGUAUAACCGAGGAGCUUCGUCGCUUGGAACGUGAGGAAGAGCUGGCUGAGGAGCUCAUCCUGGAACGUCGUCACAUCAACAAGACGAGCAGCUUCGCUGUGUUGAUGAAGCCGUUAAUGAAGAGAAAGCUCCGGGAGGUUGGUGUACGUGUACAGCCCGUGUUGGCCCAGUAGUAGUACGUGUGGGUCUGAUCAAGUCGAUGUGUGUGUUGCUGAGAGUCCGCCGAGAGUCGGUCCUCGUUCUUGCUGUCGCUGCUGUAGCCCGUAACGAUUAUUUACUUGAGAACGGUUUAUCCCGUGUGUCCGGUUCA
rnacentral:lncRNA from 1 species